rnacentral:rRNA from 1 species
UACUCCUUCAGUACUCUCUCUAAUCUCGUCUGACCUCGGAAGCUAAGCAAGGCUGGGCACGGUUUGUACUUGGAUGGGAGGCCGCUGGGAAUAUCAGGUC